rnacentral:rRNA from 1 species
ACCAGCACGUUAUGGUGGGGCACUCUAAGGAGGACUGCCGGUGACAAACCGGAGGAAGGUGGGGACGACGUCAAGUCAUCAUGGCCCUUACGGCCUGGGCUACACACGUGCUACAAUGGCCGGUACAGAGCGCAGCGAUACCGCGAGGUGGAGCAAAUCGCAGAAAGCCGGUCUCAGUACGGAUUGGAGUCUGAAACCCGACUUCAUGAAGGUGGAAUCGCUAGUAAUCGCGCAUCAGCAUGGCGCGGUGAAUACGUUCCCGGGCCUU